rnacentral:ncRNA from 10 species
GAAACAAAUGGGAAUGAAUGUCUCCCCGGGAUCAUCCCGAACCGCUUAUUAAGCUGAUGACUUCUGUGAUAAC